UGAUGCUACAAACAACAAAACUUUAGUGCAGUGUUGCAUUUUCCAUUACUGCAAUAAAACCGAGUCUGCAAUUUUCACUGUUUGCUUUGUUCUCGGUGCUUCCGAGGGAUCUACUUUCCAGAUUUUAUUUAAUACCUUUACUUUAGUUAAAAGUUUGAGAUUUUACACAGGGAGUCUAUAAUAAAGUCCGAGUAAAAUGUAAUCAAUACCCAAGUGAAAUAAGUAUCAUUCCACAAUGUUUUGGACAUGUUAAAAUUAUGAAUACCCGCCUACCUCUAAUUGGAAUGUUUUGGAACUUCACUUACUAAUGUUUAUUAAUUGUCAUCAUGGUCAUGAUCUGACAUGCAGUGCACAUGUUCCAUAACUCUUAUUUGCUUUUUUAGCUCACCUGAGCCAAAGGCUCAUGGUGAGCUUUUGUGACUGCUCAAUGUCCAUCGUCAGUCGUGCGUCGUCCGUCCAUCAACAUUUUCUAAAAAAAUCUUCUUCUUCAGAAAACCACUAAGCAGAAUUACACCAAACUUCAUAGGAAUGAUCUUUGGGUGGCCCCCUUUCAAAAUAAUUCAAAGAAUUGAAUUCCAUGCAGAACUCUGGUUGCCAUGGCAACCGAAAGGAAAAACUUUAAAAAUCUUCUUCUCAAAAACCAGAAGACCUAGGGCUUAGAUAUUUGGUGUAAAGCAUUGCCUAAUGGACCUCUACCCAAUUUAUUCAAAUCAUGACCCCGGGGUCAAAAUUGACACCCCCAGGGGCCACUUGAUUUUACAUAGGAAAAUCUUAAAAAAUCUUCUUCUCAAAAACCAGAAGCCCUAGAGCUUAGAUAUUUGACAUGUAGCAUUGCCUAGUGGACCUCUACUAAAGUUGUUCAAAUCAUGACCCCAGGGUCAAAAUUGACCCAGCUCCAGUGGUCGCUUGAUUUCACAUAGGAAAAUCUUCAAAAAAUUUCAAAAAAAUAAACCAGAUGGCCUAGAGCUUUAAUAUUUCACAUGUAGCAUCGUCUAGUGGACUUCUACAAAAUUUGUUAAAAUCAUGACCCCCGGGGUCAAAAUUGACCCCGCCCAAGGGGUCACUUGAUUUUACAUAGGAAAAUAUUCAAAAAUUUUCUAAAAAUAAACCAGAAGGCCUAGAGCUUAGAUAUUUCACAUGUAGCAUUGCCUAGUAGACUUCUACAAAAUUCGUUCAAAUCAUGACCCCGGUGUCAAAAUUUACCCUGCCCCAGGGGUCACUUGAUUUUACAUAGGAAUUUUUCCAAAAAUUUCUAAAAAUAAACCAGAAGGCCUAGAUCUUAGAUAUUUGACAUGUAUCAUUGCCUAGUGGACCUCUACAAAGUUUUUUCAAAUCCUGACCCCCGGGGUCAAAAUUGACCCUACGAAUCUCCAAAAAGUUCUAAAAAUAAACCAGAAGGCCUAGAGCUUAGAUAUUUCACAUUGAAGCAUUGCCUAGUGGACCUCUACAAAAUUUGUUCAAAUCUUGACCCCCCCAGGGUCAAAUUGACCCAGCCCAAGGGGUUAGUUGAUUUUACAUUGGGAAAUCUUCAUAAAUUUGCUUAAAAUAAACCAGAAGGCCUAGAUCUUAGAUAUUUGAUAUGUAACAUUGUCUAGUAGAAUUCUACAAACUUUGUUCAAAUCAUGAGCCCCGCCCCCCGGGUAAAAUUGGCCCCGCCCCAGGGGUUACUUGAUUGUACAUCGGAAGAUCUUUCAAAAAAUUUCUAAAAAUCAUCAGUUUGACAUGUAAAUAUGUAGCUCAUAUUAUUCAGGUGAGCGAUCCAGGGUCAUCAUGACCCUCUUGUUAACAAUAUUAUGCCCCCUUUUUCAACUUAGAUUUAAAUGGUUAAUGUAAGCUGGAAUCUCAGUACGCACUGAUGGGAAUGGUUUUGAAACUUCACACACUUGUACAUUGUCAUGAUCUGAUAUGUAGUGCGCAGGUCCAUAACUCUGAUUUACAUUCUUAAAAAUUAUACCCCUAAGUUUUUACUAAUUCAGCAGAGCUAAUUUCUAUUUCUGUGCGCACGUCUGAGUAUGGGAACCCCCUUGGCGGAUGGGCGGGCGGCCUGGUUUAGUCCACAAACUUUGUCUUAAGCAUUUCUUUCAGUGCAUGGAAGGAUUUUUAUGUAAUAGGCAAAAUUGUUCACCAUCAUGAGAGGGAGUGUCCUGUGUAAGGACCAGGUACCUCGGUCUUAGGUCAGUGUCAUACUUAGAGGCCAAAGUUUAAGACACAAGAAUGACUAUCCUGAGCAUGUUUUCUUCAGGCAUGGAGGGAUUUUAAUGUAACAUAGGAUAAUCAUAUGAGCAGUUCUUUAAAGCCCUGUUCCCCGGCUAUUCAAAUUCGUUUGUGUGUAUGCAACCCAUGAUUACAAUAGGUAACAGCUAACGGCCACGUGCCACACUUUAGCACACAAAACCACAGGUAUUUCAUAUAGAAUUUUAUAUAAAAUAGACUCUAUUUUGACAGGCGUCACUGUUCAUAGUCAGGAUUUUCAUGCUUUUUCAGUUACAAUUUAAGUUAAAAGGUAGGACGGGAGCAGGGCUUUAACAAAAAAAAAAUCUUCUAACAGGAUUUUGACUGGAUGAUUUUAUAACUAUGUAACGCUUGGUCGACGUUUGUGUUAAUUUAGUACAGCUAAUUUCAAACAUUCUUUAGAAAUAAAGCGUUACAGCUCUCCCACAAUUCUUGUCAAAUAUGUUCUUGCAUUGGUGCAGCUUAAAAUCUGAAUCAGAUAUAUUUUUCUUUGCUUCAGAAUUGGUCAUCUUUAUUGAACAGCGAUGUCUGUUGAACUGGAGACUGAAAUAUUGUUUAAUCAUGUAGUCCUAGCAUUUUAUUCUAUAUCUUCUUAAAAUAAUAUUUUUGUAUCCCUUAUGUCUUCAACAAUGGAUUGAAAUACACGGUCUUUGGUUUAAACAUGUAUUGACGGGAAAGAUGAUACAAAAUAAUACAUAACAGGAUGUGAUGUAAAUGUCACUGUCUUUGAACGCGGUGUUCAUUAUGGUUAGGUUCAGUUUCCCUUUAUACUUAAAAGAAAAGAUUGCUGGUAAUACUUCAAAAUCAAAGAUGAACUUCUGGUUGCUAGGCUACACAUACCGAAAACCAAAAAUACGUGAUAUGGCAGCUUGUUUCCAGCAGAUGAACAAAAAAAGAAAAUCACCGCUAAAACUUCACGAGCAUAGAUGCACUUCCGGUGCAUGGGCUGUACACACCAUAACAUACUUGACAUGACCGCUUGUUUUUGGCAAUUGAACAGGACUACAUGUAAUUGUAUUAUAUCCAAAUAUUUGUGAGAAAAACUGCAUUGAAUAAUUAAUUUUCAUUACCAGAUACAAACCAUACUGUUUUGCUUAAAUUUAUCGGUAAAGAAAUGUCUGACAUUCACUUGUGUAAACAUAUCACUUUUGAACCCAUUUUUCUACUAAGAAAUGUUAAUAUAAGUAAAGUUUUGUAUGUAAGCUAGUAUUAUCAUGAUUAUGUGAUUAAGGGUUUCAAAUAGACACGGCCCCUGUCAUAAGUCAACGUUAUUUGAAAAAAAAAGGUUUUAUUUGGCUUCAUUUUGUUGUUAAUUUUUAAGUGUUAUUUCAAGAUAUUUAGUUUAAAAUUGCCUAGAAAUGGCUGUUUUAUGGCAUAUACUAUUGCAAAUGAAUUUUUCUGAGUUUGACAUACUAUACUUCUAAGGAGUUAUAGCUUUUGUAUGGAAUAGUUUAAACAUUAAUUGACAAAAAAUAUAUUGUGAGGCAUGUUUUCAUAUUGUUAUCAAAAUCACGAUUUGUUUGCAUGCAUAGUGUGUAGCACUAUACUACAAAACUCAGUAUUUUCACGAGGACGUCUUCUAAUAGUCUCUCUGUAGAAAAUAGUUUCGAGAAGACGGCAUUUGUAAUUAUACUAGGAAUAACUUAUUUUUUUUUGGAAAAUCUUGUAAUGUCUGUAGCGGACUUUUAAUAAUUUUUUUUAAAAAACCAUAAUACAGUGAAUCGUUUUGGUUUCAGAUGAUUGUGAAAAAAGUCUUUGAUUAAACGGUAGGAAGAUAAUCAUUUCCUAAGUUCUGAAUUACAGCAAUCAUCAUGUAUAUAUUAUUUUAAUUUUACAGAUAUAUAAAUAUUUGAUAGAAUAUGGUACAUCUAUGGUCUGUUCGACUGAGGUAAUUUUUUCGAGUUAUGCCGAUUAUUUUUAUGUUAUUUGCUUGUGAACAUAGGACAGGAUAGUUUACUGCUCUUUUAAUGUUAACAUUGUUACAAGGCGUCAGCGUCCUUCUGUCGUAUAAUGACUUUAUGAAUUCAUUAUACUUAUUUAGAUAAGCAUAUUUUAUCAUCUUGUUUUUCGGUCAGCUAUAAGUCAUAGGUCAGUAAAUUGUCACACACAAAGAAUUUCGGAAUGCUACUUUAAAUAACUUCAGCGUUUGUUUACAUCUGGAAAAUGACAGGUUAAGAUAUCUCGUCCAGGUUAAUUACCCUCUGGCCACGUUAUUCGCUGCGUCAUGAUUGUUGUUUUGUUUCUAACUAAUUGUAAUGACAGAUGACUAAAUGAAAUAAUGACAUGUUUUUAUUAUUAUGGUCAAAAUGCGUGCCCUUUUGGAGAAAAACAAUUUAGUCAUCCCUACAAAGUUUUCCUUAAAUACCGCUAAAUUCUAGAUAGAACUUCAGUAUCAAUCUGCCCGUGCUAAUGUUAGUAACGUAUGCCGAUACUCCAUACGAUUUAAGAUAGUUUAGAGCCGGGGCAAUUAGCAAUGAAUUAUUAUUGUUAGAGUUAGACAUUAAUGAAAUAAUAGAGAUUAUGUUAGGGAAUUGUGAAGAAAGACAUUGUUGUAUAUAUUAACUCAGAACAUAGUACUAUAUUAAACAGUAGUUAUCAUAGAGAA